AUUGAACGCUGGCGGCAGGCCUAACACAUGCAAGUCGAGCGGAGCGGCGGAAGGGUGAGUAAUGACUAGGAAUCUGCCUGUUAGUGGGGGAUAACGACCGGAAACGGGCGCUAAUAUCGCAUACUCUCAGCUGAGGCUCGGCCGGAUUAGCUAGUUGGUGGGGUAAAGGCCUACAAAGGCGACGAUCCGUAACUGGUCUGAGAGGAAGAUCAGUCACACUGGAACUGAGACACGGUCCAGACUCCUACGGGAGGCAGCAGUGGGGAAUAUUGGACAAGGGGCGAAAGCCUGAUCCAGCCAUGCCGCGUGUGUGAAGAAGGUCUUCGGAUUGUAAAGCACUUUAAGUUGGGAGGCGUUACCAACAGAAUAAGCACCGGCUAACUUCGUGCCAGCCGCCGCGGUAAUAC
rnacentral:rRNA from 1 species